CCUACGGGUGGCAGCAGUGGGGAAUAUUGCACAAUGGGGGAAAGCCUGAUGCAGCGACGCCGCGUGAAGGAAGAAGUAUUUCGGUAUGUAAACUUCUAUCAGCAGGGAAGAAAAUGACGGUACGUGACGAAGAAGCCCCGGCUAACUACGUGCCAGCAGCCGCGGUAAUACGUAGGGGGCAAGCGUUAUCCGGAUUUACUGGGCGUAAAGGGAGCGUAGGCGGCGCUGCAAGUCAGAAGUGAAAGCCCGGGGCUCAACUCCGGGACUGCUUUUGAAACUGUAUGGCUAGAUUGCAGGAGAGGCAAGUGGAAUUCCUAGUGUAGCGGUGAAAUGCGUAGAUAUUAGGAGGAACACCAGUGGCGAAGGCGGCUUGCUGGACUGUAAAUGACGCUGAGGCUCGAAAGCGUGGGGAGCAAACAGGAUUAGAUACCCCUGUAGUC
rnacentral:rRNA from 1 species